GGCUUAGAGUUUGAUCAUGGCUCAGGAUGAACGCUGGCGGCGUGCCUAACACAUGCAAGUCGAGCGAAGCGAUUCGGAUGAAGUUUUCGGAUGGAUUUUGGAUUGACUGAGCGGCGGACGGGUGAGUAACGCGUGGGUAACCUGCCUCAUACAGGGGGAUAACAGUUAGAAAUGACUGCUAACACCGCAUAAGCGCACAGUACCGCAUGGUACGGUGUGAAAAACUCCGGUGGUAUGAGAUGGACCCGCGUCUGAUUAGGUAGUUGGUAGGGUAACGGCCUACCAAGCCGACGAUCAGUAGCCGACCUGAGAGGGUGACCGGCCACAUUGGGACUGAGACACGGCCCAAACUCCUACGGGAGGCAGCAGUGGGGAAUAUUGCACAAUGGGGGAAACCCUGAUGCAGCGACGCCGCGUGAGUGAAGAAGUAUUUCGGUAUGUAAAGCUCUAUCAGCAGGGAAGAAAAUGACGGUACCUGACUAAGAAGCCCCGGCUAACUACGUGCCAGCAGCCGCGGUAAUACGUAGGGGGCAAGCGUUAUCCGGAUUUACUGGGUGUAAAGGGAGCGUAGACGGCGAAGCAAGUCUGAAGUGAAAACCCAGGGCUCAACCCUGGGACUGCUUUGGAAACUGUUUUGCUAGAGUGCUGGAGAGGUAAGUG
rnacentral:rRNA from 1 species